rfam:Myotis brandtii contig154892, whole genome shotgun sequence.
GAUGGUUCUUGAGUGAUGCGCCCUGGAAUCGGGCUUUCUCCUCUCUGGUUCCAAGAGCGUUGUCCGAGAACCGCA